rnacentral:pre_miRNA from 1 species
UACAUACUCUCUCCGUUCGGAAUUACUUGUCUCGGAAAUGGAUGUAUCUAGAACUAAAAUACGUCUAGAUAUAUUUAUUUCUGCGACAAGUAAUUCCGAACGGAGGGAGUACACA